AGAUCUAUCCUAUACUAAAAGCAAUAUAUGGAGUGUUUUUAACAUGUCCACGUAGGCAAAUUUAUUUGGCCAAUCAAAACAUUUUAAUAAUCCACGUAGAUCUGUUCAGUAAACUGUUGAUUUUGUAUGGGCUCUAAUAUGUUCCGAUGGGCUUCAUUGGUUAGCAAUGGACUGAGCUAUCCGGUUCAAUUAAAAAAAACAUGUAACCGCAGCGUUCAUCGCUUUCCUUCCUCCACAAAUAAACUCGCCGUCUCCGUUAAUUCUUAAUCUUCAGAGUUUCUCUUCUCAUCUCUUCAUAUUCCCUGAAGUUCAAUGUAUUCUUAAAAUUUGGCAAUUCUAGCACCGCUCCCGUAGUCCUCUAACAGGAAGCUGACAACUUCACUGACGAACCACCAGAGCGAUGGCGCUCACCUGGGGAUCUACCACACCAGAGAUCCAACCGAACCGCAACGAGAGAGAAAGGUACCACCUUGACGACGACGGACGCUUCCUCCUCCAUCUUGAUGAUCAGGUACCGGGUGGGGAGACGAGAUGAGCUCCGACGAGGCUGCCGGAAGACGCAGCGCCUCCACCCACGGAGAACACGAAGCUUGAAGGUGAUUUGUUCUGGGUUUAGUUUUGCUGAUUUGAGUCGAGUUUGGGUUGUGGAUGAAGAAGUGUAAGAGAGUAGUUAUUGUGGUGUUGAUGAUGAUUGUUUGGAGAUGUUCAUGCCGUUUAUUAGUGAAAGAUUGAGUAAAGAGGUUGGUUCUGACUCUUGCACCGUUGUUUAAUUUGCUGGAAUCGUAGCUUCUCAGCUUCUUUAGCUUGAUAUUUGAUUCGGAGUUAGGAAGAGAUCUGCGAGAAUCUGUGCUUCAGAAGAUCUUUGGGUUCCACAGUUGCUACUUCUUUGAUGGCAUUAUAAAGAUGCUUCUGGUGGAGCCAUAUCUGCAUUUGACUCCACUAUUGGGUUCAGAAGACGAAACUGCUUUAACUGAAACCAUAACAGAAGCUAUGACUGAAUUGGCGGAGAGGCUAUGAAGUGGAAAAUCCGAAAGAAGUUUGCAGUUAAAGAACAUUGCUAUCAACUGGUAGUUUCUUUUUGGCAAGGCCUCCCUUAGAUCAAGAGGAAACCUGCAGAUACAUGAACAUGUUCUCCAAUUCACGUACACCCUAUCACUUGGUCAACUGGGUGAUCAGUCAAGGUGAAGUGAUCAGAGAUGUGGACGCACCGCUAAACUCUACGCCUGCAUCCUUCAUCGAGUGGUGUGUAUCGCUUGAAGAACAAGGACUAAAGGUUUUGACUGUGACCAUUCCAACAUUGACACAACAAGUUUGAAGAGAAGUCCAGAUUGCAACCUUUUGUAUUCUCGGAUCGUUUUGUGAAUGGGACUAAGGUUGGAGUUUCAGACAUGAAGCUAUGAGUGCUGAACCACCCACCACUUGAAAAUAGGCUUAGCAUGAAACCCUGGAAAUGUAAGGAUGCUGCAGAAGUAGUAAUUGUUGUCCAGAGAUUCUAACAUGUCACUUCGUAACAUUUUUAGGAUCUACUACUUUUUUUUGAUCAAGUAGGAUCUACUACUUAACCAAGAAAAUAACUACUAUUGUGGAUCUUUGUAUUGUAAAGCAGACUCUUAAAGUCUUUUAGAGAUCAGUGGUGUUCUUUGAAAGGUCUUCAGCAUGGAAAGUUUUAACAUAUUUUAA